rnacentral:ncRNA from 1 species
GUCAGUCACCUCUCCCUAAAGGAAGAGGCUUGUCCCGUGAGGGACAAGGGCAACUGGCUGAUUAGGGGGCAUCGAAAGAUGCAGAAGUUAUUAACAAGACCCUUAAGGAACACACCUGCACUGAAUCCUCUGCCUGAAGGCA